rnacentral:lncRNA from 13 species
AUGCUUAAACAACAUCUCUUGGAUAGCAGGGUUAAGGGUGGUAGACAGGCAACACAAUGUAGCAUAUUUUCUGCAGCUGAAGCCUCCAGGAUGGCCGGAUCAGGGGCAGCUCUGAGACUGCAUGAGUUCAAGGAGUACCAGGAAAGACGGGACUCUGGCUCAUUUAAAAGACAACCCGAAGCAACACUGAGAGUACCACGUCAGGGGAAGGAUGUGCAAGGUCUGUACCCUGGUCAGCUGGGUAGAAUCCACGUUGUUCACUCUCAGGAUCACAGAGUGAGGUUCGCAUCAUUGGAUUACUCUCCGGGGCCUUACCGUGAACACUAUGAAGACUACCCGAGGAGUUUCGACCUCCAGACAUUCCACACCCUGGACGUUCUACGCCAGAGCACCAGCGCCUCUCAAUGUGCCACUGAGACGGCUUACCAAGAGGAGUUUGGCCUGCAGUCCCACCUCAACCGUCAGUGCUGCUUCACUACUAGCUCUGGUCCAGAGUGUUACUUGCUGAUUGAGGAAAGCUCAGAAUCAGCAAGUCACAUGUAACGCCCUGGACUAGAGCUACUUCACUACCAUCUCUCUUUUCAUCUAUUGAUCUGCUCCAUUAAUACAUCCGAAGAGUGUAAUGCAGGGGUAGGCAACCCUGUUCCUGGAUUUUGUUCCAACUAGGCACCACACCGGAUCAACUGAGUUAAUCGAUCAGUUCAGUGAUGGCCUAAAUUCAACACACCUGGUCUUCCAGGUCGGUUAAAUCAAAUAUCCCUGGUAUCCCUGGUAUAGAGUGAUCCCUCACGAUACCAGGGCAACAACAAAACAAAACAAAUUGGGGAAUUUUCACGAAAUGUUUGGAGGAAGGAUUGUUAACAUAUAUUUGACAUUUGUAUAUACAAGCGUAUAUAAAAGCAUAAUUGAGAAAUAAUCAAUAGCCUGACAGGCCUCCUUAAAACUCCAUAAUGUUUCAUCUGUGAGCUACAAAGCAAAAUUGGUUUCAUCUGACGCUUUACCGCUUGCUCUGUAUUAUGAGUAGUAUUUGGAUUUCAAUAAAACAUGUUUUACAUUCAUUUAUGACUAUUGACAAAUGUAAACAUGAAUAUUGAAAACAUGUUUUUUUUAAUUGAACAUUUUCUAUAUAUUGUUGAACGUAAAAAACUCUACGGUCAUAGCAAAGUUCCAGAGUGGGAUCUGCUACUUUUGGAGUUAUGAUUCAAUUUGUAAGCAUUACCAACAGACUGAAUGUGAAAAUGCUUUUCAAAAUGGUCGCCCCCUGCUGGUGAUUUGCAGGAUGUGCAACGAUACAAGCUAAAGUAGGGAUGUGAUUGGUUACAUUGCCUGCUACGCCAAUUUCUCUGUAUAAAAUGGUCCAUUAUUUAAAACUAGCUGAGAUGCCAGUCAGGAACGUUGAUAUGCGCAUAUGAGUAUAUUAAGUUCAAAUUUGCAGAACAAGCGAUAAAGCUUCAUAUGUCACCAAUGUUUGCUUUGUAGCACAUACAAACAUAAUGGAGUCUUAAAGGAGGCCUGGGUAAGGCCAAAAUGUCAUAAAGAUGCCAACUUUUAUUCAUUAUUUCUCAAUUGGGCUUUUAGAUACAAAUGUCAAAUAUACACAGAGUGUACAAAAUAUUAUUGUCACUUGUUAAAUCCACUUCCAUCAGUGUAGAUGAUUCGUAAGGACACAAUUUAAAUAAGGAUUUCUAAACCUCGACCCAACUGAGACAUGGAUUGUGUAUGUGUGUCAUUCAGAGGGUGAAUGGGCAAGACAUGAUUUAAGUGCCUUUGAACGGGGUAUGGUAGUUGGUGCCAGGUGCACCGGUUUGGGUCAAGAACUGCAACGCUGCUGGAGUUUUCACACUCAACAGUUUCCCAUGUGUAUCAAGAAUGGUCCACCACCCAAAGGACAUCCAGCCAACUUGACACAACUGUGGGAAGCUGGAGUCAACAUGGGCCAGCAUUCCUGUAGAACGCUUUCGACACCUUGUAGAGUCCAUAGCUUGACUAAUUGAGACUGUUCUGAGGGCAAAAGGGGGAGGGUGCCACUCAAUAUUAGGAAGGUGUUCCUAAUGUUUGGUAUACUCAGUAUAUGUCAACACUCCUUCCUAUAAAUACCCUUCUAUGGAUACAAUUUUGUGGAAAUCCCCCAAAUCAUGGUCUUUUCUUAUCCUGGUUUAGUGAGGAAUCAUUUUGCUAAUGUGUAUGUCUAAAAAAAAUUGUAAAUCUACUAACUUUAAACUCUAAUAAUUUAUAAAGGCCUAAGAAGGAUAUGUUGUUACAUGUAAAAUAAUGUGUUUAAUAUGUGUUAUUUCAGCUCCGGAUAACACUAAGUUUACCCUGUACUCUCACCCUGGGCCUAUGCAACAGUUGGAGACAGGGAGUGAAGAGGAACAUUUUACAACACCAUGGCAAUCAAACUGAACUCCAUCCAUGAAAAGUAACCAAUGAAAAUGGUGCAUUGCAUGUAUUUUUGUUUGAAUGACAGGUUGUAAAAUCUUGCAUUGCAAUCAUAUAUAUGACUCUAGAAGCAUUUCAUCUCAAGUAAUGCUAAUAUAUAAUGUGUUUAUUAUAUAUACAGUACCGGUCAAAAGUUUGGACACACCUACUCAUUCAAGGGUUUCUCUUUAUUUGGACUAUUUUUGACAUGGUUGAAUAAUGGUGAAGACGUCACAACACAUGUGGAAUCACGAAGUUGCUAAAAAAAAGUGCCAAGAGUGUGCAAAGCUGUCAUCAAGGCAAAAAGUGGCCAUUUGGUCCAUAUCUACCAUUUCAAACUUUCAACUGGUACUGUAUAUUUCUAUGAAAGUCCAUUGGCACAAAAAGUGUAAUUAAAUGAAAAAAUGUCAGCAAACACGAAUCAAAUCAAAUCAGUCUUUAUUUAUUUAUAUAGCACAUUUCAGACAUGGAAGCACAGGGGGAAAAAAAAGAAGAAAUAAAUAUAAAUAAAAACAGAAAUAUUUACUAAACAACAAACAUCAGAGGAUAAAAAAAAAAGAAGAAUAACAAUAAAAAAUGAAAAGCACCCUAAGGAAAAGCAGAGCCAAAAAGAUGUGUUUUAAGAUCGCUUUUAAAUAUGUCCACAGUUUCAGCCCACUUAGGUUCUCUGGCAGGCUAUUCCAGAGUCUGGGAGCAUGGUAACUAAAGUCUGCCUCUCCAUGACUCUUGGUCCUAGGCUUUGGGAUAGUUAAAAGGCCAGUGCCAGAGGACCUGAAGGACAUACUGAGUACAUAACUGUCAUGUCUGGCAUGUUUUGGGGUGUACAAUCGUGGAUUGAUUUCAAAACCAAAAGAAAAAUCUUAAAAUUAAUUAUAAAAACUCACAGGCAG